rfam:Betaproteobacteria bacterium RIFCSPLOWO2_02_FTLL_65_20 rifcsplowo2_02_scaffold_3177, whole genome shotgun sequence.
CGGGGGCGCCGCAGACCCCCCGCCCAAGACGCCUUCCGCGUCCAAGCUCUGC